rnacentral:rRNA from 1 species
AGUGAACGCUGGCGGUAGGCCUAACACAUGCAAGUCGAACGGCAGCACAGUAAGAGCUUGCUCUUACGGGUGGCGAGUGGCGGACGGGUGAGGAAUCCGUCGGAAUCUACUUUUUCGUGGGGGAUAACGUAGGGAGACUUACGCUAAUACCGCAUACGACCUACGGGUGAAAGCAGGGGAUCUUCGGACCUUGCGCGAUUGAAUGAGCCGAUGUCGGAUUAGCUAGUUGGCGGGGUAAAGGCCCACCAAGGCGACGAUCCGUAGCUGGUCUGAGAGGAUGAUCAGCCACACUGGAACUGAGACACGGUCCAGACUCCUACGGGAGGCAGCAGUGGGGAAUAUUGGACAAUGGGCGCAAGCCUGAUCCAGCCAUACCGCGUGGGCGAAGAAGGCCUUCGGGUUGUAAAGCCCUUUUGUUGGGAAAGAAAAGCAGCAGGUUAAUACCCCGCUGUUCUGACGGUACCCAAAGAAUAAGCACCGGCUAACUUCGUG